rnacentral:tRNA from 1 species
GGGGAUUUAGCUCAGUGGUAGAGCGUUUGUUUGCCUAGCAAGCGCAAGGCCCUGGGUUCGGUCCCCAGCUCCG